UACGAAGGGGGCUAGCGUUGCUCGGAAUUACUGGGCGUAAAGCGCACGUAGGCGGUCUUUUAAGUCGGGGGUGAAAUCCUGGAGCUCAACUCCAGAAACGCCUUCGAUACUGGAAGACUUGAGUCCGGGAGAGGUGAGUGGAACUGCGAGUGUAGAGGUGAAAUUCGUAGAUAUUCGCAAGAACACCAGUGGCGAAGGCGGCUCACUGGCCCGGUACUGACGCUGAGGUGCGAAAGCGUGGGGAGCAAACAGG
rnacentral:rRNA from 1 species